rnacentral:rRNA from 1 species
AACAAACGCUGGCGGCGUGCCUAAUACAUGCAAGUCGAACGGGGAAAGCUUUCGGGUGAGUACUAGUGGCGCACGGGUGAGGAACGCGUGGAUAAUCUGCCUUAGAUUGGGGGAUAACUAGUCGAAAGAUUAGCUAAUACCGCAUAAGACCACGAGAGCUGCGGCUUUUGAGGUCAAAGGUUUUUCGCUCUAAGAUGAGUCCGCGUAAGAUUAGCUAGUUGGUGAGGUAACGGCUCACCAAGGCGACGAUCUUUAACUGGUCUGAGAGGAUGAUCAGUCACAAUGGAAAUGAGACACGGUACAGACUCCUACGGGAGGCAGCAGUAGGGAAUAUUGCACAAUGGAGGAAACUCUGAUGCAGCGACGCCGCGUGAGUGAUGAAGGCCUUCGGGUAGUAAAGCUCUGUCGCAGGGGAAUAACACAAUGAAGGUACCCUGUAAGAAAGGAUCGGCUAACUUCGUG